rnacentral:tRNA from 1 species
GGCUCGGUAGCAUAGUUGGUAAAGCGCUCGUCUAGCAUACAAGAGUCCUGGGUUCGAAUCCCAGCCGAGCAC